rnacentral:rRNA from 1 species
UACGGAGGGGGCUAGCGUUGUUCGGAAUUACUGGGCGUAAAGCGCACGUAGGCGGCUUUGUAAGUUAGAGGUGGAAGCCCGGGGCUCAACUCCGGAAUUGCCUUUAAGACUGCAUCGCUAGAACGUCGGAGAGGUAAGUGGAAUUCCGAGUGUAGAGGUGAAAUUCGUAGAUAUUCGGAAGAACACCAGUGGCGAAGGCGACUUACUGGACGACUGUUGACGCUGAGGUGCGAAAGCGUGGGGAGCAAACAGG